UACCCACACCACACUUGACAGAUCGCUCCCAGAACACUGGGUGCUUUUAUGCGAUUAGCCAGGAAUGGGUUCUCUGGGAAAUAAAUCCCCUCAGUAUAAAGGGCUUUUAUGAGCCAGGGCAGGGGAUUAAAAGCAGCCGGGCUGUAGGGAAAUCCCGGGGUCAGGAGACAGCUGAGUGUGGAGAAUUUUCAUCUAAACCCUAAACGUUUUUAAUGUUCACUCCCUGAACUCAAGGGCGUCACUUUAAAUACAUGAUAGGCAACAUCAGCUGUUCUAUUUUUCUUUUUAAUUAUACAAAGAGAUCCCGGAAAUGGCUCAGCCCCAGGCUGGCAGAAGGAAGGGAAGUUUGACGGCAGCGGCUGGAGGCAGAGACACUGAACCUGCAGAGAGACCAGAGACCAAACUUCCAGCCACCCUGAACGCCAGUAGCCAGCCUGACGCAGGACGUGUAAAAACCGUCACAGAUGCACCGGCUUAGUUCGGACACAGGGCGUACGGACGCAUCUCUGCAAUCAAAAUAUCACGCGCUCCACUUCUGCAUCUGUCUCCCGAGCUCGUCCUGCAGCCUGUCCUCUUCUCCCCUCCACCCUGUGUCUGCACAAAUCUUCCUCUGCAUCCAUACUGCACCCCCGGGGGCCGGGCAUCGUGUACACGUGUUGUCUUAGGUACUCAACUGGUCUCUCUCUCCCCGGCUGAAGACUCGGGCCACCCCACUCCAGGAUCUCCCUAUUGAUUGCUUAGGGCUGCUGUAACAGCCUCUCCCGAUGUGAGCACUCAGGAUGACAAAACCACACUGUCCCACGAUCCUGGAGGCUUGGAAUCUGUGAGCAGCUGCUAUCUACAGCCACACUACCCUGGAGUCACCAGAUCGUGUGCCGGAGCCCGGGCUAUAGCUCAGCGGCAUAAGCACCUGCCUGGCAAAUACAAGGUCCUGAGUUCUAUUCCUGGUACCAAAAAAAGUAAGCAAACAAGCAAGCCCAGCCACUGUACCUCCCACGCCCUCCCUGCCCCACCAAGGUUCUAGGGGGACCCUCUCUGGGCUCCCUCUGCCUUUGAGUAGCCUCCUGUGUUCUUUGUCAUGCAGAUGACUGUCUUCUCUCUGUGUCUUUAUAAUAUAAAGGACUUGGUGCUGCCAAGACAGUUUUAAAAAGGAACAAAGUUAAAACUCUUACCUCUACUUAAAGAUUGAUUAUCUGAGAGAGGUGGUGCAUGCUUGUAAUCCCAGCACUCAGGAGGCUGAGGCAGGAGGAUCUCUGUGAAUUUGAGGCCAGCCUGGGCUACACAGUGAGACCCUGUCUCAAAACAAACAACAAACAAACAAACAAACAGAUUGAUUUAAAAAAAAAAUCUUGACAGGGUACCACUAAAUUGCCAGGUUCGGGGCUCAUGAUCUCCCUGUCUCAGCCUUCCAGAAUGCUGGGAUAACAGGUGGGUACUGCUAUGGUCAGCUUAUUUUAUUUUUAACUGAAUCCCUCCCCUGUACUCUAGUGCUGGCAUGCAGACCCAAGACUAGAACAUGUUUGGCAAGUGCUCUGCCAAGACCUAUAUCCCGAAGCCCUUGGAUCAUCUGGAUAGUUUUUGUGACACUGGGGAUCAAAUCAAGGGGCAUGAGCUCACUAUGCUACAUGCCAGCCUUUUCUUUUCUUUUCUUUCUUUCUUUUUUUUUUUUGGUCUUUUUCCUUUUUAUUGGUACCGGGGAUCGAACUCACGACUGCCUGCUUGCAAGGCAGGCGCUUAUGCCGCUGAGCUAAAUCCCCAGCCCCAGCCUUUUCAGUUAUCUGUUUGUGGUUUGAGAUUGGCUCCUGUUAUGUAGCACGGACUAGCUUUAAAGUCCUGGUGAUCCUUCUGCCUCAGCCUCUUGACUGCUGGGAUUAUAAGAGUGCACCACGAUGCCUGCCUUGAAUUCUGAAUUUUGCACCCAGUCCCUGACGGUGUCUAACUCCUUCUGUUGUUCACCGAAGUUCUCCUAUUGUGAAAACCUUCUGCACCACUCACUUAAGCUGCCUUCCAAAUUACCUGUGAAGCCAGGACCACAUCUGGAUGACAGCAGUUUCCUGUAUUCCGCCUGGCACAGGGACUCACCGGGAGGCCAAGCCCUGCUCCACAGGACAACUUCUAAACUCUGAGAAAUGCCCUCUACUGACCACACACACGGGGCUUUCGAAGGGGAGAGUCUCCCCUCACUGGAGGCAAACAAGCACCACUGUCUCAGGGCAGGGGCUCAGGGCGUGGUGGUGCUUCUAGUGCUAACUCUGGGGUUUCUAGCUUUAGGGCAGUCAGAGGGGACUGAAGUAACAGGCAAGAGACUGUGAUGGUUCCGGUACACCUGGCUUCCUAACCUGCACUUCAGGAAGCCCUCUGGAGGUUCUGCUGUGGAGCGGGGAUUGAGGUAGUAAAGUCUUAGACUCGGGAUCCACCGCCCGGUUUGAAGGUCUUAUCCUCACUUUUCUUAUCCAUAAAAUGGUGACGUUAAUACCAUGGAGUUGUCCUAAGAAAUUCUCAAUUUUAAUAUAUUUAAUAGAAUAAUAAAAUACUUUAUGAUAGCUCAUA